rnacentral:rRNA from 1 species
AUUGAACGCUGGCGGCAGGCCUAACACAUGCAAGUCGAACGCGUGGCGGACGGGUGCGUAAUGUCUAGGAAACUGCCCGCUGGAGGGGGAUAACUCCUGGAAACGGUAGCUAAUACCGCAUACCAUCGGAUGUGCCCAGAUGGGACUAGCUAGUCGGUGGGGUAACGGCUCACCUAGGCGACCAUCCCUAGCUGGUCUGCGAGGUUGACCAGCCACACGGGAACUGGGACACGGGCCAGACUCCUACGGGAGGCAGCGGUGGGGAAGAUUGCACAAUGGGCGCAAGCGUGAUGCAGCCAUGCCGCGUGUAUGAAGAGGGGCUUCGGGUUGUAAAGUACUUUCAGCGAGGAGGCGUUACUCGGAGAAGAAGCACCGGCUAACUCCGUGCCAGCAGCCGCGGUAAUUC